rnacentral:lncRNA from 1 species
GUGCCCACAGAGCCAGGUAAUUCAUCCAUGGACUUAUUGUAUAGCAUAUGUACUCGUUCUAUCUCUUGGUUUUCCUCUACCCUUGUCAUAUGAUGUUAUCAUAGUUGUCCUUCAAAACUGAACCACAUAGUAUUGUCAUCUAUCUAUUUUUAUUUCUUUCAGCUGAAACCUUCUGCUACUACAAAAACAUGAUUUUUAUAAUAAGAUAAGAUAUCAACUCUCAAUACUUGUACAGAAUCCCUGACCCUUUUUCUCCCUUAGGCCAAGUAAGAAAAAAUCCAAGGAAUAGAAGAAAGAAAUUUCUGUAUGCAAAGACAUCUUUAUUAAAAAGAAGACAUAUUUGUUCUCUUCCAAACUGAAACUUGAAGAAACAACUCGGGUAGGUUGAAGUUUGAAGUGGUGGAAAGGCUUUUGUAGUGUGGUGAUUGAGCAAUAAUAAGGUUGCUAUUAUUGUGAUAAUGGAGUUAACACAUGGGAUACUUCAUUUCUCGGUGGCAUGUCAUCAGUGCCUCUAAAUAUAUGAGAUUUCUGUCCUAUCUCUUUAGGUAGGUUGGGGUGAGUCAUAAUCCUUUUCUCUUUAUAGUAGAAACGUUUUUUUUGCCUUUACUACACAGUAGGC